AAAUUGAAGAGUUUGAUCAUGGCUCAGAUUGAACGCUGGCGGCAGGCCUAACACAUGCAAGUCGAGCGGAAACGAGUUAUCUGAACCUUCGGGGAACGAUAACGGCGUCGAGCGGCGGACGGGUGAGUAAUGCCUAGGAAAUUGCCCUGAUGUGGGGGAUAACCAUUGGAAACGAUGGCUAAUACCGCAUAAUGCCUACGGGCCAAAGAGGGGGACCUUCGGGCCUCUCGCGUCAGGAUAUGCCUAGGUGGGAUUAGCUAGUUGGUGAGGUAAUGGCUCACCAAGGCGACGAUCCCUAGCUGGUCUGAGAGGAUGAUCAGCCACACUGGAACUGAGACACGGUCCAGACUCCUACGGGAGGCAGCAGUGGGGAAUAUUGCACAAUGGGCGCAAGCCUGAUGCAGCCAUGCCGCGUGUGUGAAGAAGGCCUUCGGGUUGUAAAGCACUUUCAGUCGUGAGGAAGGUAGUGUAGUUAAUAGCUGCAUUAUUUGACGUUAGCGACAGAAGAAGCACCGGCUAACUCCGUGCCAGCAGCCGCGGUAAUACGGAGGGUGCGAGCGUUAAUCGGAAUUACUGGGCGUAAAGCGCAUGCAGGUGGUUUGUUAAGUCAGAUGUGAAAGCCCGGGGCUCAACCUCGGAAUAGCAUUUGAAACUGGCAGACUAGAGUACUGUAGAGGGGGGUAGAAUUUCAGGUGUAGCGGUGAAAUGCGUAGAGAUCUGAAGGAAUACCGGUGGCGAAGGCGGCCCCCUGGACAGAUACUGACACUCAGAUGCGAAAGCGUGGGGAGCAAACAGGAUUAGAUACCCUGGUAGUCCACGCCGUAAACGAUGUCUACUUGGAGGUUGUGGCCUUGAGCCGUGGCUUUCGGAGCUAACGCGUUAAGUAGACCGCCUGGGGAGUACGGUCGCAAGAUUAAAACUCAAAUGAAUUGACGGGGGCCCGCACAAGCGGUGGAGCAUGUGGUUUAAUUCGAUGCAACGCGAAGAACCUUACCUACUCUUGACAUCCAGAGAACUUUCCAGAGAUGGAUUGGUGCCUUCGGGAACUCUGAGACAGGUGCUGCAUGGCUGUCGUCAGCUCGUGUUGUGAAAUGUUGGGUUAAGUCCCGCAACGAGCGCAACCCUUAUCCUUGUUUGCCAGCGAGUAAUGUCGGGAACUCCAGGGAGACUGCCGGUGAUAAACCGGAGGAAGGUGGGGACGACGUCAAGUCAUCAUGGCCCUUACGAGUAGGGCUACACACGUGCUACAAUGGCGCAUACAGAGGGCAGCAAGCUAGCGAUAGUGAGCGAAUCCCAAAAAGUGCGUCGUAGUCCGGAUUGGAGUCUGCAACUCGACUCCAUGAAGUCGGAAUCGCUAGUAAUCGUGGAUCAGAAUGCCACGGUGAAUACGUUCCCGGGCCUUGUACACACCGCCCGUCACACCAUGGGAGUGGGCUGCAAAAGAAGUAGGUAGUUUAACCUUCGGGAGGACGCUUACCACUUUGUGGUUCAUGACUGGGGUGAAGUCGUAACAAGGUAGCGCUAGGGGAACCUGGCGCUGGAUCACCUCCUUA
rnacentral:rRNA from 1 species